AGGAGAAGAAAGAGAGGGUGAGCCAACGCGUCUCUGCUCUUCAACAGCUCGUCUCGCCGUAUGGGAAGGUGCGUAGUAGAAAAUAAAGGGUUAAUUAUAGUUUAUAGUAUGAUCCUUUCAACGAAUUUGAGUUUUGUAGCCUCAUCGAUGUCCGGAACUUUGGGAAAUUGCUCUCGUUUUAAAGUUUUCCGGCGUUGGAAAAGUCACUAUCGCGAUGGAAUUGUGGUAGUAGUUGUGCUUUGUCGAGAUUACACCUGAAACGAUAACUAAUUUGUUCAAAAAAAAAAAAAAAAUCAAAGUUCAUGUAUUUAUUCACCAACUUUAUAAAGUACGAGAAAAAUCAUAAUCCAGUGAUAAUUUAUGCAUUUACAACCAAUUAAUUGUAUGUUUGAAACUUUGAGAAAUUGUUCUUAUUUAAAAAAAUUCGGUGUCAAGUCCCCAAGGGAACACCAAGAGGUGCGAACUCCUAUUUGCGAACAAUAAGGUCUAGGGUUCAAACCCCACCGCUCCCCCUUUCCCAAGUAAAAAAAAAAUCGGUGUAAAAAAAAGCCACAAUCACGACGGAAGUGUGGCAGUAGUUAUAUUUAGCUGAAAUUAAACAUGAAACGAUGACCUAUUGCUAAAAAACUACCAGUGUGGUCAAACCUAAUGUUUACAACGCUAAAGAAGAUUUUCAACGGUAGAUAGUCCAUGGUCAUCAAACCACCAGUGUGGUUGACAUCGCGCCUGAAAGUUAGUGGAAUGGCGAAUGGCACCAACUUUCAGGCGCAAUUAUGAUGAUACCGAUGGUCCAAUAACGAUGGGUUUACCUACUGUCGGAAAUUCUCUUUAGUGUUGAAUACAUUAAAUUCUAGUUUCGAUCGUUCAUCAUCGUCUCCGGUGUAAUUUUGACAAGUAACAACUACUGCCACAACUUCGAUGUGAUUGUGCCAUUUUGGCGCCGGAAAAUUUUAAACAUAUCAUACAAAAAAUAAAUCGAAGUUGAGACUAUAAACUAAAAUUCGUUGCAAAUUCUAUAAUUUAUCCGAAAAUAA
rnacentral:lncRNA from 1 species